rnacentral:rRNA from 1 species
AGGACGAACGCUGGCGGCGUGCUUAACACAUGCAAGUCGAGCGGUGAUCCUCCUUCGGGAGGUGAUCAGCGGCGAACGGGUGAGUAACACGUGGGCAACCUGCCCUCACGACUGGGAUAACCUCGGGAAACCGGGCUAAUACCGGUAUACGACCUCGAGCGGCAUCUCUUGAGGUGGAAAGCUCCGACGGUGAGGGAUGGGCCCGCGGCCUAUCAGCUUGUUGGUGGGGUAAUGGCCUACCAGGGCGACGACGGGUA